rnacentral:rRNA from 1 species
AUUGAACGCUGGCGGCAGGCCUAACACAUGCAAGUAGAACGCAGUUGCGAACGGGUGAGUAACGCGUAGGUAACUGCCUCAUAGCGGGGGAUUACUAUUUGAAACGAUAGCUAAUACCGCAUACUGUGAGAUGGACCUGCGUUGUAUUAGCUAGUUGGUGAGGUAAAGGCUCACCAAGGCGACGAUACAUAGCCGACCUGAGAGGGUGACAAGCCACACGGGGACUGAGACACGGCCCAGACUCCUACGGGAGGCAGCAGGAGGGAAUCUUCGGCAAGGGACGGAAGGCUGACCGCGCAACGCCGCGUGAGUGAAGAAGGUUUUCGGAUCGUAAAGCUAUGUUGUUAGAGAAGCUGUAACUAACCAGAAAGGGACGGCGAACUACGUGCAAGCAGCGGCGGAAAUA